CCUACGGGAGGCAGCAGUCGAGAAUCAUUCACAAUGGGGGAAACCCUGAUGGUGCGACGCCGCGUGGGGGAAUGAAGGUCUUCGGAUUGUAAACCCCUGUCAUGUGGGAGCAAAUUAAAAAGAUAGUACCACAAGAGGAAGAGACGGCUAACUCUGUGCCAGCAGCCGCGGUAAUACAGAGGUCUCAAGCGUUGUUCGGAAUCACUGGGCGUAAAGCGUGCGUAGGCUGUUUCGUAAGUCGUGUGUGAAAGGCGCGGGCUCAACCCGCGGACGGCACAUGAUACUGCGAGACUAGAGUAAGGGAGGGGGAACCGGAAGUCUCGGUGUAGCAGUGAAAUGCGUAGAUAUCGAGAGGAACACUCGUGGCGAAGGCGGGUUCCUGGACAUUAACUGACGCUGAGGCACGAAGGCCAGGGGAGCGAAAGGGAUUAGAUACCCUGGUAGUC
rnacentral:rRNA from 1 species